AUGAACGCUGGCGGCGUGCCUAAUACAUGCCAGUCGAGCGAACAGACGAGGAGCUUGCUCCUCUGACGUUAGCGGCGGACGGGUGAGUAACACGUGGAUAACCUACCUAUAAGACUGGGAUAACUUCGGGAAACCGGAGCUAAUACCGGAUAAUAUAUUGAACCGCAUGGUUCCAUAGUGAAAGACGGUUUUGCUGUCACUUAUAUAUGGAUCCGCGCCGCAUUAGCUAGUUGGUAAGGUAACGGCUUACCAAGGCGACGAUGCGUAGCCGACCUGAGAGGGUGAUCGGCCACACUGGAACUGAGACACGGUCCAGACUCCUACGGGAGGCAGCAGUAGGGAAUCUUCCGCAAUGGGCGAAAGCCUGACGGAGCAACGCCGCGUGAGUGAUGAAGGUCUUCGGAUCGUAAAACUCUGUUAUUAGGGAAGAACAAAUGUGUAAGUAACUAUGCACGUCUUGACGGUACCUAAUCAGAAAGCCACGGCUAACUACGUG
rnacentral:rRNA from 1 species